GGCUUGGCUGUGCAGACCAGUGCUGAUUGGAGGCCGGGGCAGGGAGGUGCAGGGGAGAGGACAGCGCCAAGUCCUUCAGCCGCUCCCCAUCCUGGCGGAAGAUGUUCCGAGAGAAGGACCUCCGAGGCGUAACCCCCGACUCGGCUGAGAUGUUGCCCCCCAACUUUCGUUCGGCUGCAGCAGGAGCCCUGGGCUCACCAGGGCUCCCUCUCCGAAAGCUGCAGCCUGAAGGCCAGACUUCUGGGAGCUCCCGGGCAGACGGCGUUUCGGUCCGGACCUACUCCUGCUAGUGUUGGCCUCCAGGUGACCUCACUCGGAUGGAGGACUCUCCCAGUGGCUGCGCCGUCCCGCCUGCUGCCCAGAGUCUGGGCUUACCCCUAGAGAGCCGGCCAGGAGUUCCAGCCGCGGACUGCACCAUCUGUACAGACAGGGGCCGCGCGCGUCCCCGCCUCCCCAGUGGACUGGGCCUGGACCAAACCAUGUGGACCGAACUGAGGGGGGACAGGAGAGGAAGUAGCUAUCCCGCCCCAAACUCCCGCCUCCCUUUCUCUACUUUGUAAUUUAUUGAUCAGUUUCCAACGGGAGACGGGUACUCUCCACCCGCGGAAAGGGGGCGGGCUUCCCUCCCGGGCCGCAUGCGGGGAAAGGCUGUUCCCUCCCCUUUCUCCUGCCCAGUUGCGGGGCCCAAGUCUUCCUUCUUCCUCGGAAAGGAGGGGAGGGGGGACUCGCUGCUACAAGCCUCGCCCCCUGUGCCACUUGGCCCCGCCCCGCCGAAUCCGGUCGCCAGUCCCCGGGUCAUUUGCAGGCGGGGUCCCCUGUCCCUCCCCGUGUCUCGUGUCCCCGGGGCCUCCCCGUUCCCCGUGCUGUGGCCGUGUCCGUGCCCCAGGGGCAGGGGGCGCAGAUGCGCGCUCCCGGAUCCCCUCCCGGCUCCGGGGUUUGCAUGGGAGAAUCCUCUUUCCACGAUGCCACCGAGCGACGUGGCGUAGGAGGAGGGCGGAUGGUGGGGGAACCCUCGCCCCCGGCUCUCGGUCGGCCUCCUGGCCCCAGGCGUCACCCAGUGAUCACGGGUAAAGAGAAC
rnacentral:lncRNA from 1 species